AGAGUUUGAUCCUGGCUCAGGACGAACGCUGGCGGCGUGCUUAACACAUGCAAGUCGAACGGAAAGGCCCUUCGGGGUACUCGAGUGGCGAACGGGUGAGUAACACGUGGGUGAUCUGCCCUGCACUUUGGGAUAAGCCUGGGAAACUGGGUCUAAUACCGAAUAGGACCACGCGCUUCAUGGUGUGUGGUGGAAAGCUUUUGCGGUGUGGGAUGGGCCCGCGGCCUAUCAGCUUGUUGGUGGGGUAAUGGCCUACCAAGGCGACGACGGGUAGCCGGCCUGAGAGGGUGACCGGCCACACUGGGACUGAGAUACGGCCCAGACUCCUACGGGAGGCAGCAGUGGGGAAUAUUGCACAAUGGGCGCAAGCCUGAUGCAGCGACGCCGCGUGAGGGAUGACGGCCUUCGGGUUGUAAACCUCUUUCAAUAGGGACGAAGCGCAAGUGACGGUACCUAUAGAAGAAGCACCGGCCAACUACGUGCCAGCAGCCGCGGUAAUACGUAGGGUGCGAGCGUUGUCCGGAAUUACUGGGCGUAAAGAGCUCGUAGGUGGUUUGUCGCGUUGUUCGUGAAAACUCACAGCUUAACUGUGGGCGUGCGGGCGAUACGGGCAGACUGGAGUACUGUAGGGGAGACUGGAAUUCCUGGUGUAGCGGUGGAAUGCGCAGAUAUCAGGAGGAACACCGGUGGCGAAGGCGGGUCUCUGGGCAGUAACUGACGCUGAGGAGCGAAAGCGUGGGGAGCGAACAGGAUUAGAUACCCUGGUAGUCCAA
rnacentral:rRNA from 1 species